rnacentral:rRNA from 1 species
AGGGUGUAUGGGGGAUGUCUAGGCGUCGAGAGGCGAUGAAGGACGUGGUAGGCUGCGAUAAGCCCGGGGCAGGUGCCGAACAACCGUUUAUCCCGGGAUGUCCGAAUGGGGCAACCCGCCGUCACUGGGCAACCAGAUGGCGGCAUCUCCGGCUGAAUGCAUAGGCCGGAUGAAGCGAACGCAGGGAACUGAAACAUCUAAGUACCUGCAGGAAAGGAAAUCAACCGAGACUCCGUCAGUAGCGGCGAGCGAAAGCGGAAGAGCCCAAACCAGGGGGCUUGCUCCCUGGGGUUGCGGGCGCCGACACACGCCGUGUGAUGAUUAGCGGAACGGUCUGGAAAGUCCGACCAUAGACGGUGAAAGUCCCGUACGCGAAAAUCUGAUCACGGUGUCGGCGUACCAGAGUAGCACGGAGCUCGUGGAACUCCGUGUGAAGCUGGGGGGCCCACCCUCCAAGGCUAAGUACUACUCGACGACCGAUAGUGGAAAGUAGGGCGACUGAACGAUGAAAAGUACCCCUAUUAGGGGAGUUAAAAGUACCUGAAACCAUACACCUACAAGCGGUAGGAGCCCUAUGCCCGCCUUCGGGCGGGAACGGGUGACUACGUGCCUUUUGCAUAAUGAGCCGGCGAGUUACCGUUUGCGGCAAGGUUAAGCACCUCAGGUGCGUAGCCGUAGCGAAAGCGAGUCUGAACAGGGCGAAUUCAGUCGCAGGUGGUAGACGCGAAGCCAGGUGAUCUACCCAUGGCCAGGUUGAAGGGGAUGUAAAAGUCCCUGGAGGACCGAACUCACUAGCGUUGAAAAGCUAGGGGAUGAGCUGUGGGGAGGAGUAAAAGUCUAAUCAAACCUGGAGAUAUCUCGUUCUCUCCGAAAUAGCUUUUGGGCUAGCCUCGAGUGAUACUUCACGGGGGUAGAGCUACUGAAUGGGGAUGGGGGGCCACCAGCCUACCCACCCCAACCAAACUCCGAAUACCGUGAAGCGUAUCUCGGGAGUCAGACUGCGGGGGAUAACCUUCGUAGUCAAGAGGGAAACAACCCAGAUCGCCAGCUAAGGUCCCAGAGUCUUGCUAAGUUCAUAAGGAAGUCGGAUUGCAGUGACAGCCAGGAUGUUGGCUUAGAAGCAGCCACCAUUUAAAAAGUGCGUAAUAGCUUACUGGUCGAGCAGUUUGGCGCCGAUAAUGAACGGGAAUAAGCAAGACACCGAAGCUGCGGGCUUGUGCCUCGGUUCGCCGGGGCGCGAGCGGUAGGAGAGCGUUGCUGACCGCGUCGAAGCCGUACGGAAACGAGCGGUGGAGCGUCAGCAAGUGAUUAUGCCGGCAUGAGUAACGAUAAAGCAGGUGAGAAUCCUGCUCGCCGAAAGCCUAAGGUUUCCUGGGGAAGGUAAAUCCGCCCAGGGUUAGUCGGACCCUUAGUCGAGGCUGAAAGGCGUAGACGAUGGACAGCAGGUUAAUAUUCCUGCACUACGUACCGAAGGUUUGGACUCUGGGGGUGACGCGGUGUUCAAGGCUGGAAGCUGAUUAGUCGUGGCUAUUGUGCCCGAGGUGUCGCCGGUAGGCAAAUCCGCCGGCGCCAAGACACCGAGGGACCGCGAGGGCCGAUUUGAUGCCCGAGCAGCCGGAUACACCGCCGAGAAAAACCUCAAAGAGGACGACGGUGCGUAUCCGUACUAAAACUGACACAGGUAGGCGAGGAGAAUAUCCUAAGGCGCUCGAGAGAACGGUCUUUAAGGAACUAGGCAAUUUGACCCCGUAAGUUCGCGAUAAGGGGUCCCUCCAGACGUGCUUAUUUUCGAGUGAGCACGUGCUGAGGGCGCAGUGAAGUGGCUCUGGCGACUGUUUAUCAAAAACACAGUUCUCUGCCAACACAUAAAGUGGAUGUAUAGAGAAUGACGCCUGCUCGGUGCCGGAAGGUUAAGAGGAUGGGUUAUCCCUUCGGGGAGAAGCUCCUAAUUGAAGCCCCGGUAAACGGCGGCCGUAACUAUGACGGUCCUAAGGUAGCGAAGUUCCUUGUCGGGUAAGUUCCGACGUGCAUGAACGGCGUAACGACUGGAGCACUGUCUCAAAGACCGACUCGGUGAAAUUGUAGACGUGGUGAAGAUACCACGUACCCGCGGCAAGACGGAAAGACCCCAUGAACCUUUACUGUAUCCUGAUAUUGAUGCCUGGCAUAUCUUGCGUAGGAUAGGUGGGAGGCGAUGAAGCGCCGAUUCCGGUCGGUGUGGAGCCAACCUUGAAAUACCACCCUUGCUAUGUUAGUCACCUAACCGCGUCCCGUGAAUCCGGGCGUGGGACCGUGUCAGGUGGGCAGUUUGACUGGGGCGGUCUCCUCCUAAAGUGUAACGGAGGAGUUCAAAGGUACACUCAGCGUGGUUGGCAAUCACGUGUAGAGGGCAAGGCUACAAGUGUGCUUGACUGCGAGACUUAUCGGUCGAGCAGAUGCGAAAGCAGGACCUAGUGAUCCGGUGGUACCGGGUGGAAGGGCCAUCGCUCAUCAGAUAAAAGGUACUCUGGGGAUAACAGGCUUAUCUCCCCCGAGCGUUCAUAGCGGCGGGGAGGUUUGGCACAUCGAUGUCGGCUCAUCACAUCCUGGGGCUGAAGGCGGUCCCAAGGGUUGGGCUGUUCGCCCAUUAAAGUGGUACGCGAGCUGGGUUCAGACCGGCGUGAGCCAGGUCGGUCCCUAUCUGCCGUGGGCGCAGGAAUCUUGAGGAGAGGUUUCCCUAGUACGAGAGGACUGGGAAGCACUGACCUCUGGUGUACCGGUUGUCGCGCUAGCGGCACGGCCGGGUAGCUAUGUCGGGAAAGGAUAACCGCUGAAAGCAUCUAAGCGGGAAGCCCACUCCAAGAUGAGGAUUCCGUUCGACUUCGGUCGAUGAAGAGCCCUGGAAGACGACCAGGUUGAUAGGCCGGGUGUGUAAGCGGCGAAAUCCGUUCAGCUUACCGGUACUAACGCUCGACGACUUGACC